UCGAUUGAGUUUGAUCAUGGCUCAGGACGAACGCUGGCGGCGUGCUUAACACAUGCAAGUGGAGCGACGAACCGGGGCUUGCCCCGGGGCAAAGCCGCGAACGGGUGAGUAACACGUGGGUAACCCACCUUGAUGACCGGGACAACCCGAGGAAACUCGGGCUAAUACCGGAUGUGCUCUUCCCCUCCAAGGGGGAUGAGGAAAGAUAGCUUCGGCCUUCGCAUCAAGACGGGCCCGCGGCCCAUUAGCUUGUUGGUGGGGUAACGGCCUACCAAGGCUUCGAUGGGUAGCUGGUCUGAGAGGACGAUCAGCCACACUGGGACUGAGACACGGCCCAGACUCCUACGGGAGGCAGCAGUGGGGAAUCUUGCACAAUGCGCGAAAGCGUGAUGCAGCAACGCCGCGUGGGGGAAGACGGCCUUCGGGUUGUAAACCCCUUUCAGUUGGGACGAAGCUUCGCCGGUUAAUAGCCGACUGGAGUGACGGUACCUUCAGAAGAAGCCCCGGCUAACUACGUGCCAGCAGCCGCGGUAAUACGUAGGGGGCAAGCGUUGUCCGGAAUCAUUGGGCGUAAAGCGCGUGUAGGCGGUUCGAUAAGUCUGCUGUGAAAGUCCAGGGCUCAACCCUGGGAUGCCGGUGGAUACUGUCGGGCUAGAGUACGGAAGAGGCGAGUGGAAUUCCCCGGUGUAGCGGUGAAAUGCGCAGAUAUCGGGAGGAACACUAAUUGCGAAGGCAGCUCGCUGGGACGUUACUGACGCUGAGACGCGAAAGCGUGGGGAGCAAACAGG
rnacentral:rRNA from 1 species